UACUGCAGAGCUGCUCCACCUGUGCCGCUGCUAAUCAGUGGCAUGAGGAGCGAGCACCUUCCUUCCCAGUGGGAAGCAGCUAAUAAUGAUUAGGAUAAUGGGUAACCCAGCAGAUAAAACACCUGAGCUAUGUGCUAAUAGGCUUCGGAUGGGUGUAGGGGCUUCCUCCCAUCCAUCAGCUCAGCAGCAGGCAGGAAGUGAUGCACCAGCCUGAGUGACACCAGUGGUCCCAGUCCUGCAGCUCCAGCGAUGCUUAAUGUGGGUAAGGACCCUGCAGAAGCUUCUAGAUGGGCUGGGAAGGUGUGGGUCCCAGCCCCACAGCACCCCUUUGGGCAGUGCCACCAGUAUAGGGUAAGAAACUGAAAGAAAGGGCUGCAGGAGUGAGCUUUUAACGGGUGUGAGGAGGCACUUAGUGCCCAUCCCAGCAAAACCUCCCAAGCUGGAUCUGGAUGCUUCCAUCAGCAGGUCAGACCCAUCAAGGGCAUCAUGCAAUUAAAAACCUGAUUCUAAACCUUUCCACCCUCAUCCUUGUGGGGCUUUUAUCUGAGGGUGGGAGGAGGAAAACUUCAUUAGCAGGGUCACUUAUUAACCUGCUGGCUCCUAAUGAUGCCCUUAUCUCCUCCUGCCAGCCUUAGAUUCAUCAGCUAUCUCUGAAGGAGCUCUCCUGCCCUACAUUGCUCUCCCUUCAUUAGCUUUUCAUCUUGCUUAAUUGCUCCUGCAGAUUUGC